rnacentral:rRNA from 1 species
UACGUAGGGUGCGAGCGUUAAUCGGAAUUACUGGGCGUAAAGCGUGCGCAGGCGGUUCGCUAAGACCGAUGUGAAAUCCCCGGGCUUAACCUGGGAACUGCAUUGGUGACUGGCGGGCUAGAGUAUGGCAGAGGGGGGUAGAAUUCCACGUGUAGCAGUGAAAUGCGUAGAGAUGUGGAGGAAUACCGAUGGCGAAGGCCAGCCCCCUGGGCCAAUACUGACGCUCAUAGCACAGGAAAGCGUAGGGGAGCAAAC